rnacentral:rRNA from 1 species
UACGGAGGGUGCGAGCGUUAUUCGGAAUUACUGGGCGUAAAGCGCGUGUAGGCGGGGAGGCAAGUCUGAUGUGAAAGCCCCGGGCUUAACCUGGGAAGUGCAUUGGAAACUGCAUUUCUUGAGUGCUGGAGAGGAAGGGGGAAUUCCCGGUGUAGAGGUGAAAUUCGUAGAGAUCGGGAGGAAUACCAGUGGCGAAGGCGCCCUUCUGGACGGCAACUGACGCUGAGACGCGAAAGCGUGGGGAGCAAACAGG